rnacentral:rRNA from 1 species
UACGGAGGGUGCAAGCGUUAUCCGGAUUCACUGGGUUUAAAGGGUGCGUAGGUGGGCAAGUAAGUCAGUGGUGAAAUCUCCGGGCUUAACCCGGAAACUGCCAUUGAUACUAUUUGUCUUGAAUGUUUGUUGAGGUUUGCGGUAAUGGGUCAUGUAGCGGUGAAAUGCAUAGAUAUGACCCGGAACACCUAUUGCGAAGGCAGCAGGCUAAACAAAUAUUGACGCUGAGGCUCGAAAGCGUGGGGAUCAAACAGG